GCUCUGGCAAUCACACAGGUCCAGUAUAGAGGAUGGCAUUCUUAGUGCAUAGCAGACCUGCCACAAAGUGGCUGCUCUGUUCCUAAGAGUACAUCAGCU